AUACGUAGGGGGCAAGCGUUGUCCGGAAUUACUGGGCGUAAAGAGCUCGUAGGCGGCUCAGCAAGUCGGUCGUGAAAGCCCGAGGCUCAACCUCGGAACUGCGGUCGAUACUGCUGUGGCUAGAGUCCGGUAGAGGAGAGUGGAAUUCCCGGUGUAGCGGUGGAAUGCGCAGAUAUCGGGAGGAACACCAGUGGCGAAGGCGGCUCUCUGGGCCGGUACUGACGCUGAGGAGCGAAAGCGUGCGGAGCAAACAGGAUUAGAAACCCUAGUAGUCC
rnacentral:rRNA from 1 species